CGAGAGGUCACCCACUAGCCGUUCUCAACAUGUCACUGCGUCAAGUCACUCACCAACAAUGCAUCGGAUGCACCGCGUUGAAGCGUCGAGUUUUCUAGAUAACGAAAAAUACCCACACACACUGUUCAGGCGGUCGUCAAAGGUUUCUAAGAGUGCCACGAGCCCUACAACCUAGGCCUAGCAUUACAAGGGAGUGCACGGGCUCUGGCUUUGUCCUGUUGCAAGUUUCAUUUCCGGAAACUCUCGCCGCUGCCACUGCUGAUUGAGGCGCUAGACGAGAUGGAGAUACGCGCAGUGCGCACCGAUUACAUGCCGUCUAUCGGCCAUGCGCACAAGUGUCAUUGUCGUUGUGACCCGCUUUUCCAUCACUAUACGCCUUGUAAUAUUAUUCAAAGAAAUUUCGUAUGAAUUCGCCAAAAUCCCCUUCCCAGAUACUCUGACGUUAAUUUGUCAACAAGAUAACGACUGCACGUCCGUUCAGGUGAUUCAAAUCUUUAUUUAAUAUGCACGUAAACCACAUCUUCAACAAACUUGUCGUAGCACCUCACUACUUGUCUCAAGACGCGGAUCCACGUGCUUUUUAUCCACUUUGUAGUAGCCAUUGAAUAUUCCUGGGACGCACAUCGGAAUGUUUUGUCAUUAAAGAGACUAAAAUUAAAUUUUUAACUCAUUCGAGGUUGGUUGUAACAUUGAAAUUACCAUAGUUUUCACAAACAUCCUUGACCUAGCUGUCAAUGAGGCACUACUUUCAGUCGCAACGCUUUAUAAUCACAUGGAUAGAAUUGUAGUGCGGAGAGCGCGAAAAUUAUUGCGCGUCGUUGGUUUUGAAAUCAUCUAUUUCUACGCGAUUAAGCUCCAGUGGCUUGUCCACGUUUUGAAAAUCAUAAAAUUAAAAGUUAUUGUUAGAAAGUCGUUUUAGUCAGACCGGUCUAUCACGGUAUUCACCACCCAUAAUAAUUACUCUAGAGUAUUCGUAUUAUCAACGGUUCGGUGACAUCAAGGUUGCAGCAAUAAUAUCCUAAUCUCAAUCCAGCGAUUUUGCUGAAGCAGAUAAAUAGAUAAAGCAUACUUAUCUGUCUGGCUAUCAUCGACCACCUAGCUAUAUUUAAACAAGCCUCCAGCCUUUAAUCGGCUGCUAUCUGCUGCGCCAAUAGUCAACUUAUCAUGCAAUAUAAUUCAUUGCAAAUGAAAUUAGUUUAACAAUGUAGUAUUCGCACGGGGCUCUCAACACACUUGCAUGGACGCUUGUCUGCAUUAGCGCUAAAUAUAUCAGGUGAAUCAGCUAUACGCCGUAAAAACUGAUUCAGUGUUCGGGCAGAUUCCAUUGAAAUAGUUUAAGGACUUUUCAACGCUGAUUACUCUUGGCGCAGAUUCUUGAACUGAUUUAUUACGAGUUAGAAGUUGCAAAUUAAUAAUAUAAAAUAGUGCAAAUGUCUCUUUUUGACGUUUAUCGAAAAUGAUAAUCAUCUACAUUGUACAAAAGAGGUUGGAAAUUGAAAUGAAAUUUUCUUAGUGACUCUCUAUGAUCGAUAUUUUUUAUUACCUAUAUAGAAACAAUUUAAUGUACGUUUAUUCAUAACUAGUUUUUUUUGUCAAUAGUUGAUUUCCCGAUUAUCAGAUCUUUGAUAUAUAGUUAGUAGACCAGGAUUAAGAAAUAAUUUCGAUAUCUUUAUCUUAAUUAAUCAACAAUUAAUUAUCCCAAAAAUGACUCGUAUUCUAUCUCUAAAAACAGUAAUACUAUUAUCAAAAAUUGAAAAAUUUUAUACCAAUUCAUAACCUUUGUCCAAUCAGGUAUCUCUGCAUUCGAACAUUUUCGUUCACUAUGUUAUUAUUAUAUUUUUUCAUGACAUUGGGUUCACAACAAACCCACACAUAAUCAACAAGAACAAAACGGUCAAGUAUACUUGACAAGGAUGAAAAAGGAUAUUCUUAUAAUAUUCCCAAUUCGGAUCUUAUUGAGAUUAAUAUAAAAAAUCAAGUCUGUGUCCAAGAAUCUUCAAUGAAGCUGUAAAGGCAAUAUAAAAAGAUUUAGAUAUCAUAGUUAUGAAAACAUGCGUGCUAGAGAGUUCACAGCAAAGGUCAGUGUUAUAGAUUUGUUGUAGUUGCUAGGAAAUUCAAUCAAUUCACGUUGUAUCAUAAACAAAUGUAUAUGUAUGUAGUUCCGGAAUUUCUUUAAAAGAUAUUGUACACAUCUGUGUCACUGGAUCGACUAAUAUUCAUAAGGUUUAACGAAUGAAGACCUGGAAACGUUGCAACGUUAACAGGAAUAUCCUUUUGAAAUUAACUGAAUAACACUAAUCUAAAAGAACACUAAUCGGCCACUGGUAAUAAGGAAUACCAGGUGCUCAGUUCUAUUCUGUAGCAUUUGAAAUGCGAUACAACCUUGUAAUACAGGUGUACUCGGUGCGACAAACAAAGACAAAUGCUGGUUGAAACUAAAUAUACUCAACAUUUCAUUUGCUUCAUUAGAAGAAAAAAAAAGAAACAAAGGUUUGUCCUAAU